GAGAGGCUACGGCGUGGCGUGGCGGUUUCAUGCCCUACCGGCCGCUCUACAGCUACGACAUCGACCCCGUUGCCAACUCCAUGUACUUCUACGGGUCCGUCGGCGGAAUCAUGUGUUGACCUCGUGAGGCCGUGAAUCUGUGAUCCUGGACAGACUAGUUGAGUUUGGACAAGUCGGGCAGUAGCUAGGGCAUAGGACUCCCUCGACGGUUCUAGCAGUUGUUUAUUGCUGAUAAAGCUAGCCCUUUUUUUGGGGAAGCUCUCUGUUUGUAUGUAUGUCGCGUCUGAAAAUCUGAGUGAAUUUUGUAAUACACUGCACACGUAAUAAAUGGCGGCUCGGUUGCCUAAUUUUUUUUAUCAUGUAUAACUUAGGCUGUGUUUGGUUGAGGUGCAGAUUCUGUAAAAGCUGUUGUGAGCUGCGAGCUAUGAAAAAAUUAAUAUGAAUUUCAGGUGUGGAAAAACUGAAAGUUGUUUGGCUGAAACAACUGUGAACUGUAAAUUUCAUUGUGAAUUGUCUGACCCUAGAUAAUGAGUUAUUUUUUUAUGAAAAACGUUUCACGCCAGGGGGCCGGCUGAAGUUUUGACCGGUCGCACCCGCGCACUAUGCUACUAGUAGGCCCACCUCCCAUCCCUUAUACUCACGUAGUUUUUUUUCAGCCGCUCAUUUUGCUUUUCUUCCUCUUAAAUUUGCUACAACCGGUGUCCAAAUUUGCUACAUUUGUCCACUAAAAAAGCUGCAUAUACGUUUGGUUGCAAUCUCAGUUUGUCGAAUUUUUUUGCUACAACCGGGUUUUUUUGCUACAACCGUGUUAAUUUUUGCUACAACCGGUAUCAUUUUUUGCUGCAACCAUUCACUAAAAAAGUUGCAUCACGUUCGUCAGAGUUGCAAUCCGAGUUCACCGGAUUGUUUUGCUACAACCCUUAUUUUGUUUUGCUACCACGCAUUAUCAGCUUUGUUUUUUUGUUACGACCACGUUGAUAUUUUUUUACUACAACUAUAUUUUGGUUGCAACCAUGGAGGAAAAUUGCUGCAUCAUAGACGAAAUUUGUUGCAUCGAGAAUUUUUGCUGGAUUUUAUGAGUUUUUUCAAGAGGGAGUAGUUGGCUUUUGGGUUUUUGCCCUAGGCUUUGGCGUUUUUUUUAAUUCUUUAAAGAACUUGUGAUUUCGUGCUUCUCAAAGGAAAAAAAAUGUGCUUUUGCACUAAGUUACUCGGAAAAAAUGUGCAUUCACACGAAGCAAAUGUUUGCUUUUGUGAUAAAGUACAGAUUUACUUCUCGUGCAAGCAUAGAUUUCAAAAGCACAAGUUGUGCUUGCAAAAAAAGUGCAAACCGCGAAUUGUGCUUCCAGGAUUCAGUUUUUUCCUUCCUUUCUUUUGGUAUUCAUCUUUUUUUCGCAAACCAGUUUUUCUUUUUUUUUAGAUUAUUUUGGGUAUUCAUUUUUGGGAAUUUUAGGUUUUUUGUUUUCAGUUUUUAUGCGGAGAUUUUUUUUUUAAAUCUAUUAACUUCGGAUCUAGUUUCAAAGAUCUCAAUGUGAGAAAUCAAAUGCUAAAAACGGUUCGGUAGUUGGACACGAGGUUCAACAAAUUAAACGUGUUGACCGAGAAAAAAAUAUGAAAAAAGAGAAACUCCCAACUUGCGGCAGGUGACUCACAAGCAGUGUGCCAUUUGUCAAACCACAGAAGGUUGGAGAGUGACCUUUGCAAAGGGGUGCCCCUUAACUAAUGAUUGCAUAGUUCUUAUCAAAAAACUAAUGCUUUCAUAGAUAUGCAGCUCAAAACGUUGACGAUAGAGUUUGUGGGUCUUUCUAUUGACAAUUCCUUUGAUAAAUCUCUAUUGAUCUGAUUUCAAGAUCUAUGAACAAGAGAGAUAAAAACACUUCAGGUAAAAAAAGAGAGAUGAAUAGAUAAGGUUGAGCCCAUAGCAAAACUGGGUACUAUGAUGGGGUGAGAGAGGGGGGAAACCCUUUGGGAUGGAUCGCUAAAAAUGGCCUCCCCCUCACCCCACCACUCACAUCGUGGUGACUCCCUUCUCCCUUUUUACUGGAAAUAUAUAGCCUAACACGAAGAAUCUUACCCUCACAUCUUCUAUUUCUCACUAAAUGAACCAUUGUCUGGGACGCCCCUAUGCCAAUAGACGAGCGUGCUAUGGCCUAAUUCAGGUUCUUGUGAGAGAGGGUCUUAGGAAUUGUUUUUCCCUAUAUGUGACUUAUUUGUAUUGGUUUUGUUGCGGGUUUUUGGUUUUCUAUGUUUCUUUAGCAAUAUUCUUUAUUUAUUUUUUGAGUUUUUCUCUUUUAUCUUCUUUUUCGUUUUCUUGUGUAUUGGUUUUCAACUGUAUUCUUUUGGCUUUUGGCUUUUGCCUUUUGUGUUUCUUCAUCGAUUUUCUAGUUUUUUGGUAAAUAUUUUCCAAGGCAUGACUACUUUUUUCAUAUACAUUGGGAACACAUUUUAUACACAUUUAUCAUUUUUCAAAUAAAUGAUAACAAUUUUUCAAAUAUGUCUUUUGAUGUAUCCAUUUUUCAUACACAUUUAACAUUUUCUAUUUACAUCUGAAAUAUAUAUUUUUAUGUGCCCAACGUUUUUUAUAUAUGAUUAACAUUUUAUAAAUACAUAUUUUUGAAUAAGUAUUAAACAUUUUUCAAAUACAUGUUGAGACAAUUUUUAUUGGUAAGAAAUAUUUUGCAACGAAAUGGAUUAAUUACAUUGUAUAAAUAGCAUUUAAUGUCACACACAUAUUUUUGAGACACGUGAACAUUUUUUAAAUAUACCGUACAUUUUUUGAAUGGUAGGAAACAUUUUUUUAGUUACACAAACAUAUUUUUACAUUGUAUAGUUUUUUUGAAAUGCAUGAACUGUUUUCAAAUGUCAGAAACAAGUGUUUUUAAUGCUAUCAACAUCUUUUUUCGGUUACUCUGGCAAAUAUUUGCACUUCAUUAACAUUUUUCUAAUUCACUGUGUUUUAAAUAAAGUAAAUUUAAGUUUUAGAUAUAUGUAUUCAUACUAUUUUAAAAUAUAAACAAAAGAAAAGUAAAUAUAGAAUAGAUGAAAACAAUGAAAGAAAAUGAACUAACUUGCAGGAAACUACUUGGACAGACCCAUUAAUAGCGAUACUGAAGCGAGUCGAGCUUUUGUCUCGCAUAAAGCUAAACAAAGCUGCUCCCAACCUUCACAUCAUUAAAAUUUAUGACUAAAAACAAUAAGGAUGGCUUUAAAAGAAAGGAACACCAAAAACCUGACAGGACUGAGAAGUGGAUCAAUAUACUUUAAAAUAUUUUGUAUAUGCCUUUUCUCUUUCAGCUAUUAAAACAAAAAGGCAACAUCUUUCAAUUAUAAAAGGACCACUAGUUGUUAAAAUUUUCUCGAUCGCCCCUUACCUCCAUCACUAGGUCGACCUAUAACGGAACCGCCCCUCUGGCUUUGUUGUCACUUUUGUCAGCCACCCGCACAGCCUCAAGACCCUCAAACUCAAUGGCAACAGCUUCUCCGAUGUUGUCCUCGAUGACAUCGACACUUGCCUGCAUCUCAACAUCGUCAACUUCAUUGAUAAUGUGUUCGAUAACGAGCUCUUGGGCUCCAUCAAGCACCUAGCAUUAAUUUUGUGUGUCUCCGCGUUUGAAAUCGGCUCUUUAACGUCGUGCCUGCAUGUUGGUGACCUAUCAGACUCAUGACCACAGAUAAGAAGUUUGUUACCACAUUUGAACACGACUUUUCUUUUCUUUUUGCGAAAAGGAUUCAGAUAUAUUAUAAAAGUUUACCAGAAGUACAAAGCACCUAAAACAUAAUAAAAAUUAGAUCGGGGUCACUAUACCACAAUAUAACCACUAUUGUCGUUCCACCAAAGUCGAUUUGACCUUGUUGAUGACACUCAGAAAGUCUUCAUGCAUAUGCCCUACGGACCAUCGCCCUGGAGCCACACUCGCCAUUAAACUCUUGAAAAGAUUUGAAACACCUGACAUCGAAAUCUCAUCAUCACACACGCACGACGAAAGCCCAUAAGCCCACCGUCUCAAAGAGACAACAGAAAUCUACGCUGGAGCUCCGUCGACUACAUCCAAAUGGACAAAGUAGAGGCUCAUUGGAGCCUAGAAGACAAAUUUGAAGAAUAAAUGUCGUCAUCCACCCGAGCACUACACUUGUGAGGACUGUAAACACUAACCGUAAUUCCUAGCCAAAGUGGAGGCAUGCUGUUGAGAAAGGGGAGGCAAAUCAACGGGCUCGUUGGUGGAGCCUAGAGGAAAUAGUUUGCCCUAUCUCGAGAGGGAAAGGUGAGGCUCUUGUGCACUUCAGGCUUCCCUUGGUCUGCAGGAAUUUCACAGGAUUUCUAUAGGAUAUGAUUCUUGUACGAAAAUUUUCUUUAGAGCCUUUGGUUUACAGGAAUGGAUCCUACAUAGGAUUGGUUCCUAUCCUUUAUAUUUCAAAGAAAAAUAUAAAUGAGUCUAGACUUAAUGAAAAAUUCCAAUGAUGUGAAUCAAAUGACAUCUCUGUUCCUCAUAGGAUUUGAGAUACAUGGCAUCUCAUUUUCUACAAAUUUCCUAUUUAUAUGACAAUCCUAUCCUAUAAACCAAAGUAGCCCUUCACUUGUAUGGAACUGAAAAGAAGGAAAUACACUAGUAGUGUUCUAAAUAGAUAUGAAUCGUGACUUUUCUUUCUUUUGAGGAACACAACAGUUGUACUUUAAAACGAAUAUAACAUGUUUGUUACAAGAAUAUUUAAAAUCCGGGGGGAGGUGCCCAAUUAACAAGUUUUAUCAUUGUUAAGCUUCAUACACUAGGCAAUGCAAUUAAAAGUUUGAACUAAUGGAAAGAGCAAGGCAAUUCACAUAGACACUUCAACAACCCAUCUCAUGUGUGACACGGGAAGUCAACACGUGAAUAAAUUUAGAGGUGCGGUUUGAAAGGCCUAUAUGUGGACACAGAGGGGAGAACAACAUUUUUUGAAUAAAUUGCCAAAGCCGGAACUUGAACUCAAGACCUUAGGCCCUGAUACCAUGUUAAGCUUCAUGCACUAGGCAAGAAAAUCAAAAAUCUAAACUAAUAAAAAGGACUAAACAAUACACAUAUACACUUCAACAACCACUAAUCAGGCUAGUUCGUUUGUAUCAUUGAACGGCCAAAUAACCGAGUGAUUUUCCUUUGGAGUUCUUGCCUGAGGCCAACUCCACUACACAACCCCAAACAAACAUUCGUUUUAUCCGGAUUUGGUCCGCUGGCGGCAAAACAGAUGUCAAUGUUCGGUUUUGGCAUAAAACAUAAAACUUAAAAGAACUUAAAAAAGUAGCCACCGCUACCAUUGUCGUCUCGGAUACCACCGUCUUCUUCAGGCGCCAUCGUCCUCGUCGUCGUCGAGUAAGGUUGAUGGACGGUGGUGGCUGCUAGAGGUGGUCUGGUGGUGCUUGCACCACCUCUUCGCGUGACGGAGACUAGUCCGGUUUACGUGGCGGCGUGGGCGCCCAUGGCUUGACGCCCAACCAGUUCGCCAUCUCGCCCAAUGUGGACUACAACAUCCAGCGCUUCCCCACCAACCGUGGGUUCCACAUGGCAAUGGGUGGCUCCUCGACGACCUUCUCCCGCACCUCCUCCUUGACGGCCAUCUCCAAUUCCGGGAUGGCGGCGUCCCCGACCGCAGAGGUCCAGCAGCGUCUCGAGGCCCUCCCACCGUCGUUUGUCAUUAGAGGUGGUGACGCCGGGAGGGGGAGGGGGUGACGUCGGAGUGAGCCCGCGCACACGCGUGCACCCGUGUGUCUGGGGCAGACAUGGCCGACGCGGGCUUGGAGGACGGCCAACAAAGANNNNNNNNNNNNNNNNNNNNNNNNNNNNNNNNNNNNNNNNNNNNNNNNNNNNNNNNNNNNNNNNNNNNNNNNNNNNNNNNNNNNNNNNNNNNNNNNNNNNGCGCCCGCGUGGUCACCAGGGAGAGGCUACGGCGUGGCGUGGCGGUUUCAUGCCCUACCGGCCGCUCUACAGCUACGACAUCGACCCCGUUGCCAACUCCAUGUACUUCUACGGGUCCGUCGGCGGAAUCAUGUGUUGACCUCGUGAGGCCGUGAAUCUGUGAUCCUGGACAGACUAGUUGAGUUUGGACAAGUCGGGCAGUAGCUAGGGCAUAGGACUCCCUCGACGGUUCUAGCAGUUGUUUAUUGCUGAUAAAGCUAGCCCUUUUUUUGGGGAAGCUCUCUGUUUGUAUGUAUGUCGCGUCUGAAAAUCUGAGUGAAUUUUGUAAUACACUGCACACGUAAUAAAUGGCGGCUCGGUUGCCUAAUUUUUUUUAUCAUGUAUAACUUAGGCUGUGUUUGGUUGAGGUGCAGAUUCUGUAAAAGCUGUUGUGAGCUGCGAGC
rnacentral:lncRNA from 1 species